AUGUUCGUGGUGCUGUCGUGCAUCACCGCCGGCAUGGGCGGCGCCAUCUUCGGCUACGACAUCGGGAUCGCGGGCGGGGUGUCGUCCAUGGAGCCGUUCCUGCGCAAGUUCUUCCCGGAGGUGUACCGUCGGAUGAAGGGCGACUCUCAUGUCAGCAACUACUGCAAGUUCGACAGC
rnacentral:rRNA from 1 species